rnacentral:pre_miRNA from 2 species
AACAAUAUCCUGGUGCUGCCUGAGUACAUCUCACAGACUCCAGCAUCAGUGAUUUUGUUG